rnacentral:rRNA from 1 species
UGGGAAUUUUGGACAAUUGGGCGAAAGCCUGAUCCAGCAAUGCCGCGUGUGUGAAGAAGGCCUUCGGGUUGUAAAGCACUUUUGUCCGGAAAGAAAUCCUUGGCUCUAAUACAGUCGGGGGAUGACGGUACCGGAAGAAUAAGCACCGGCUAACUACGUGCCAGCAGCCGCGGUAAUACGUAGGGUGCAAGCGUUAAUCGGAAUUACUGGGCGUAAAGCGUGCGCAGGCGGUUUGCUAAGACCGAUGUGAAAUCCCCGGGCUCAACCUGGGAACUGCAUUGGUGACUGGCAGGCUAGAGUAUGGCAGAGGGGGGUAGAAUUCCACGUGUAGCAGUGAAAUGCGUAGAGAUGUGGAGGAAUACCGAUGGCGAAGGCAGCCCCCUGGGCCAAUACUGACGCUCAUACACGAAAGC